AAAAAAAAAAAAAAAAAAUGCGGUAUGCAAAAGUAUUCAGCCCCCCUGAGUCAAUACUUUGUAGAACCACCUUUUGCUGCAAUUACAGCUGCAAGUCUUUUAGGGUUUUCUUCCAAGACUGCCCUGUAUUUGGCUUCAUCCAUCUUCCCAUCAACUCUGACCAUCUUUCUUGUCCCUGCUGAAAAGAAGCCUUCCCAGGGCAUGACGCUGCCACCACCAUAUUUGACAGUGGUAUGGUGUGGGUAGUGGGAUGGUGUCUUCAGAGUGAUGUGCGGUGUUAGUUUUCUGCCACACAUAGCGUUUUGCAUUUUGGCCAAAAUGUUGAAUUUUGGUCUCAUCUGACCAAAGCACCUUCUUCCACAUGUUUGCUGUGUCCCCAACAUGGCUUCU